AGAGUUUGAUCCUGGCUCAGGAUGAACGCUGGCGGCGUGCCUAAUACAUGCAAGUCGAGCGAACGGACGAGAAGCUUGCUUCUCUGAUGUUAGCGGCGGACGGGUGAGUAACACGUGGAUAACCUACCUAUAAGACUGGGAUAACUUCGGGAAACCGGAGCUAAUACCGGAUAAUAUUUUGAACCGCAUGGUUCAAAAGUGAAAGACGGUCUUGCUGUCACUUAUAGAUGGAUCCGCGCUGCAUUAGCUAGUUGGUAAGGUAACGGCUUACCAAGGCAACGAUGCAUAGCCGACCUGAGAGGGUGAUCGGCCACACUGGAACUGAGACACGGUCCAGACUCCUACGGGAGGCAGCAGUAGGGAAUCUUCCGCAAUGGGCGAAAGCCUGACGGAGCAACGCCGCGUGAGUGAUGAAGGUCUUCGGAUCGUAAAACUCUGUUAUUAGGGAAGAACAUAUGUGUAAGUAACUGUGCACAUCUUGACGGUACCUAAUCAGAAAGCCACGGCUAACUACGUGCCAGCAGCCGCGGUAAUACGUAGGUGGCAAGCGUUAUCCGGAAUUAUUGGGCGUAAAGCGCGCGUAGGCGGUUUUUUAAGUCUGAUGUGAAAGCCCACGGCUCAACCGUGGAGGGUCAUUGGAAACUGGAAAACUUGAGUGCAGAAGAGGAAAGUGGAAUUCCAUGUGUAGCGGUGAAAUGCGCAGAGAUAUGGAGGAACACCAGUGGCGAAGGCGACUUUCUGGUCUGUAACUGACGCUGAUGUGCGAAAGCGUGGGGAUCAAACAGGAUUAGAUACCCUGGUAGUCCACGCCGUAAACGAUGAGUGCUAAGUGUUAGGGGUUUCCGCCCCUUAGUGCUGCAGCUAACGCAUUAAGCACUCCGCCUGGGGAGUACGACCGCAAGGUUGAAACUCAAAGGAAUUGACGGGGACCCGCACAAGCGGUGGAGCAUGUGGUUUAAUUCGAAGCAACGCGAAGAACCUUACCAAAUCUUGACAUCCUUUGACAACUCUAGAGAUAGAGCUUUCCCCUUCGGGGACAAAGUGACAGGUGGUGCAUGGUUGUCGUCAGCUCGUGUCGUGAGAUGUUGGGUUAAGUCCCGCAACGAGCGCAACCCUUAAGCUUAGUUGCCAUCAUUAAGUUGGGCACUCUAAGUUGACUGCCGGUGACAAACCGGAGGAAGGUGGGGAUGACGUCAAAUCAUCAUGCCCCUUAUGAUUUGGGCUACACACGUGCUACAAUGGACAAUACAAAGGGCAGCGAAACCGCGAGGUCAAGCAAAUCCCAUAAAGUUGUUCUCAGUUCGGAUUGUAGUCUGCAACUCGACUACAUGAAGCUGGAAUCGCUAGUAAUCGUAGAUCAGCAUGCUACGGUGAAUACGUUCCCGGGUCUUGUACACACCGCCCGUCACACCACGAGAGUUUGUAACACCCGAAGCCGGUGGAGUAACCUUUUAGGAGCUAGCCGUCGAAGGUGGGACAAAUGAUUGGGGUGAAGUCGUAACAAGGUAGCCGUAUCGGAAGGUGCGGCUG
rnacentral:rRNA from 1 species